rnacentral:rRNA from 1 species
UGGGGAAUAUUGGACAAUGGGCGCAAGCCUGAUCCAGCAAUGCCGCGUGGAUGAAGAAGGUUUUCGGAUUGUAAAGUCCUUUCGGCGGGGACGAUGAUGACGGUACCCGCAGAAGAAGCCCCGGCUAACUUCGUGCCAGCAGCCGCGGUAAUACGAAGGGGGCUAGCGUUGCUCGGAAUGACUGGGCGUAAAGGGCGCGUAGGCGGAUGUCUUUGUCGGGCGUGAAAUUCCAGGGCUCAACCUUGGGACUGCGUUCGAGACGGGAUGUCUAGAGUUUGGCAGAGGGUCGUGGAAUUCCCAGUGUAGAGGUGAAAUUCGUAGAUAUUGGGAAGAACACCGGUGGCGAAGGCGGCGACCUGGUCCUUGACUGACGCUGAUGCGCGAAAGCGUGGGGAGCAAACAG